rnacentral:rRNA from 1 species
UACGAAGGGGGCUAGCGUUGCUCGGAAUUACUGGGCGUAAAGGGCGCGUAGGCGGACAGUUUAGUCAGAGGUGAAAGCCCAGGGCUCAACCUUGGAAUUGCCUUUGAUACUGGCUGUCUUGAGUUCGGGAGAGGUGAGUGGAAUGCCGAGUGUAGAGGUGAAAUUCGUAGAUAUUCGGAAGAACACCAGUGGCGAAGGCGACUCACUGGCCCGAUACUGACGCUGAGGCGCGAAAGCGUGGGGAGCAAACAGG